AUUCACUAACGCCGUACAGCCUCCUGCUAGUGAAAACCGACAGGUCUAGCCCUGAAAGCAGUGUGAGUAUUCACUAACGCCGUACAGCCUCCUGCUAGUGAAAACCGUCAGGUCUAGCCCUGAAAGCAGUGUGAGUAUUCACUAACGCCGUACAGCCUCCUGCUAGUGAAAACCGUCAGGUCUAGCCCUGAAAGCAGUGUGAGUAUUCACUAACGCCGUACAGCUCAAUCUGUGCUGUGAUUUGUUUAAACAACUCAUCAUUUAAACAAACAUUCUACAUUACCACGGAAAUGAUUGCAUCACAAUACCAGGUAGAAAUGCGCGAGUGAACCCUUGAGUUCACCAGUCAAAUUGCCAAGGGUUUGAAGUUCCUAUCCCCAUUCUAUGCAUUAUAUUUCUAUGGUAAUUUUAUGACAGAAAUGUUCCUGGAACGUCAGCAGCAUGACGUCGAUGCAAAAUCCCAGGAUGUACAAAUAAGAAUUGAAUGUAGAGGGUGAGAACAAUUUUACAUGCAUAUUAUGAAUUAAUAUUUCAUUUAUUUAUGCCUUAGGACGACAAGAACAGCACAUUAUGGGUGACAUUUUCUGUCCGCAAAACAGCCCUCGCAACACACAGCUUCUUCGCUAGAUAAACAAACAUCUGAAUCAGACAGUUUGGUGAUUCAUACUAAAAGAGUUUGGAAUACUGCAGCUGCAUAAAUGUUCACUGCCAUUGCUAAGGACAUCCUAAAAAGGAAAAGUUACAAUAUUGUAAGGUAUUUUUUGCUGAGUUUAGUGACGUUUUUUUUGCGGACUGAAAAUGUGGAGAGUAGUGGCAAGUAGUGUUCCCAUCCUGCUUUUUCGUCUAUGCACCUUUUAAAAGGCACUGUUCCUGCGUUCACGGAGAUCACAUUCACGGUAAACACUGCACACAUCGGCUAAAUCUUUACAUGGCAAUCAGACCGAAUCCUGGCCUUAGUGUGAAUCAGAGUGCUGGAGAAUAUCAGGCAGGAGGCAGGCAGGAGGGUAAGAACACUCUAUAUAGAUAAACAUGUUCCUUUCAUCAAUGUUUCUUUUACAUUUGGUCCUAAAGUUAAAAGCACAGCCUCAUUCUCCAAGCACUCAGAGAGAGAGAGAGAGAGAGAGAGAGAGAGAGAGAGAGAGAGAGAGAGAGAGAGAGAGAGAGAGAGAGAGAGAGAGAGAACUCAGAUAGACGGAUUAGCAAUUUGAAGUGUUUCAUAAGGAGUGCAUGUGUGUGUGUGUGUGUGUGUGUGUGUGUGUGUGUGUGUGAGAGAGAGAGAGAGUUGUUCUAUGAAUCAGAGGGCUUACAGAGAGUGGUCAAAUGGCUUUGUAAGUGAAUGCAUUUGUGAGUAUGUGUGGAGGGAGGUAGGGAGGGAGGGAGG
rnacentral:lncRNA from 1 species